rnacentral:rRNA from 1 species
UACAGAGGGGGCAAGCGUUGUUCGGAAUUACUGGGCGUAAAGGGCGUGUAGGCGGCCACCUAAGUCAGACGUGAAAUCCCUCGGCUCAACCGGGGAACUGCGUCUGAUACUGGGCGGCUUGAAUUCGGGAGAGGGAUGCGGAAUUCCAGGUGUAGCGGUGAAAUGCGUAGAUAUCUGGAGGAACACCGGUGGCGAAGGCGGCAUCCUGGACCGAGAUUGACGCUGAGGCGCGAAAGCCAGGGGAGCAAACGGG